CUAAUGGCUCGCUCUCGGGGCUGAUGAUGAGUUUCACCACAAAUCUUCAAGGCUGUCAACACAAAACUGUUCAAUCAACAGGAGUAUGAGUUGUGUCUUUAGUAAAAUUAGCAGGGGGAAGAAAUACAGCCGCGAGGGCUGUGGGCGGGGGCCCUGCGGGCUCUGCUUGGAGCCCUCCUCCAGGAUCUGAUCUCCCUGAAUGUCAGGGCUUCCAUCCCUGCCUGACCCCGGGGCACUUGGUUGUUUAUGGAGCCCCAAGUGCAUUUCAGCAGCGGGAUCCAACUGCUCUGCAGGGCAGGGGAAGGGGAGGAACCAGCCCAGCAGGAGCUCUGGGAGGCACCGGGACACCAGGAGGAGUUUGGCUUGUGCGGAGCAGCACCUCUGAGAGGUGACAGAUGGCCU
rnacentral:lncRNA from 12 species